UGAACAAUAGGAUUUGCUCAGCCCCAGGUU
rnacentral:piRNA from 1 species